rnacentral:rRNA from 1 species
UUGUGUUGGAACUGUCGCGGACUGGGGACGGACGCGACAGUUGGCGAGCUGAAAUGGCUCGUUAGUAAAUAUCGUCCCUCCCUCCUCUUCCUUUCCGUGACAAAGAUGAGGGAUUCGAGAGCUCGGAACCUCAUGUGGUCGCUAGGUUACUCAGGAGCUUUUGCAGUUAGCAGUGAUGGAUUGAAUGGUGGGCUAGCUCUAUUUUGGUCCUCCUCUCUCUUGGUGUCAUUAAAAGGUUACUCCACGCAAUUGGUUGAUAUAAGAGUCAAAACAGAAAAUGGAGUCGAAUGGCGCACAAAACUGGUAUAUGGAGAACCAAAGAAAGAGUUGAGGCACAUCUUUUGGGAUAGACUUUGA